UACGUAGGGUCCGAGCGUUGUCCGGAAUUAUUGGGCGUAAAGGGCUCGUAGGCGGUUUGUCGCGUCGGGAGUGAAAACCAGGUGCUUAACACCUGGCUUGCUUUCGAUACGGGCAGACUAGAGGUAUUCAGGGGAGAACGGAAUUCCUGGUGUAGCGGUGAAAUGCGCAGAUAUCAGGAGGAAUACCGGUGGCGAAGGCGGCAUCCUGGACCGACAUUGACGCUGAGGAGCGAAAGCUAGGGGAGCAAACAGG
rnacentral:rRNA from 1 species